AGCGAACGCUGGCGGCAGGCCUAACACAUGCAAGUCGAACGGAUCCUUCGGGAAUAGUGGCGGACGGGUGAGUAACACGUAGGAACGUGCCCUUUGGUUCGGAACAACUCAGGGAAACUUGAGCUAAUACCGGAUGUGCCCUUCGGGGGAAAGAUUUAUCGCCAUUGGAGCGGCCCGCGUCUGAUUAGCUAGUUGGUUAGGUAAAGGCUCACCAAGGCGACGAUCAGUAGCUGGUCUGAGAGGAUGAUCAGCCACAUUGGGACUGAGACACGGCCCAAACUCCUACGGGAGGCAGCAGUGGGGAAUCUUGCGCAAUGGGCGAAAGCCUGACGCAGCCAUGCCGCGCGAAUGAUGAAGGUCUUAGGAUUGUAAAAUUCUUUCACCGGGGACGAUAAUGACGGUACCCGGAGAAGAAGCCCCGGCUAACUUCGUGCCAGCCGCCGCCGUAA
rnacentral:rRNA from 1 species